UACGGAGGGUGCAAGCGUUAGUCGGAAUUACUGGGCGUAAAGGGUGCGUAGGCGGGGAUAUAAGUCAGAUGUGAAAAACCAAGGCUCAACCUUGGCAGUGCAUCUGAAACUGUAUUUCUAGAGGGAUAGCGGAGAAAACGGAAUUCCACGUGUAGCGGUGAAAUGCGUAGAUAUGUGGAAGAACACCUGUGGCGAAAGCGGUUUUCUAGCUUAAACCUGACGCUGAGGCACGAAAGCAAGGGGAGCAAACAGG
rnacentral:rRNA from 1 species